rnacentral:rRNA from 1 species
GAUGAACGCUGGCGGCGUGCCUAAUACAUGCAAGUCGAGCGAAUAGAUAAGGAGCUUGCUCCUUUGACGUUAGCGGCGGACGGGUGAGUAACACGUGGAUAACCUACCUAUAAGACUGGGAUAACUUCGGGAAGCCGGAGCUAAUACCGGAUAACAUAUUGAACCGCAUGGUUCAAUAGUGAAAGGCGGCUUUGCUGUCACUUAUAGAUGGAUCCGCGCCGGAUUAGCUAGUUGGUAAGGUAACGGCUUACCAAGGCAACGAUACGUAGCCGACCUGAGAGGGUGAUCGGCCACACUGGAACUGAGACACGGUCCAGACUCCUACGGGAGGCAGCAGUGGGGAAUCUUCCACAAUGGGCGAAAGCCUGACGGAGCAACGCCGCGUGAGUGAUGAAGGUCUUCGGAUCGUAAAACUCUGUUAUCAGGGAAGAACAAAUGUGUAAGUAACUGUGCACGUCUUGACGGUACCUGAUCAGAAAGCCACGGCUAACUACGUG